rnacentral:rRNA from 1 species
ACUCCAUGRAGUCGGAAUCGCUAGUAAAUCGUAGAUCAGAAUGCUACGGUGAAUACGUUCCCGGGCCUUGUACACACCGCCCGUCACACCAUGGGAGUGGGUUGCAAAAGAAGUAGGUAGCUUAACCUUCGGGAGGGCGCUUACCACUUUGUGAUUCAUGACUGGGGUGAAGUCGUAACAAGGUAACCGUAGGGGAACCUGCGGUUGGAUCACCUCCUUACCUUAAAGAA